AUUGAACGCUGGCGGCAUGCCUUACACAUGCAAGUCGAACGGCAGCACGGGAGCAAUCCUGGUGGCGAGUGGCGAACGGGUGAGUAAAGUAUCGGAACGUGCCCAGAAGUGGGGGAUAACGUAGCGAAAGUUACGCUAAUACCGCAUACGUUCUACGGAAGAAAGUGGGGGACCUUCGGGCCUCAUGCUUUUGGAGCGGCCGAUGUCUGAUUAGCUAGGUGGUGAGGUAAAGGCUCACCAAGGCGACGAUCAGUAGCUGGUCUGAGAGGACGACCAGCCACACUGGGACUGAGACACGGCCCAGACUCCUACGGGAGGCAGCAGUGGGGAAUUUUGGACAAUGGGCGCAAGCCUGAUCCAGCAAUGCCGCGUGAGUGAAGAAGGCCUUCGGGUUGUAAAGCUCUUUUGUCAGGGAAGAAACGGCCGAGGCGAAUACCUUUGGCUAAUGACGGUACCUGAAGAAUAAGCACCGGCUAACUACGUGCCAGCCGCCGCGGUAAGAC
rnacentral:rRNA from 1 species